rnacentral:lncRNA from 1 species
CGGUUUUCAAAUUUGGAAUUAGGUUCACUAUUAUUUGAUGCAAAUCUACAUCCUUACUAAUUUUUUUUAGUCUCACAAAUAUAUGCAAAAAAUAGCAUCAAAUAUUUUUUUUUCUUUUGAGAUAAUUUUCAGCCAAAAACUCUACACUCAAAGUGUUUUACGAGAGAUACAUGUUGCGGAAUAAAUACAAAGGUUUUAAUAGGCAUAUGGGAAUUUAUACUUCAUAGGCUUAGUUGACCGUUUAGUUAAAAAUAUGUCUCCGAUGUUGUGAUCAUUUGCUACCUUUGUUCAAGACCCUUCU